UACAGAGGGGGCAAGCGUUAUUCGGAAUUAUUGGGCGUAAAGGGCGCGUAGGCGGCCUGGCAAGUGGAAGGUGAAAUCCCUCGGCUUAACCGAGGAACUGCCUUCCAGACUGCUUGGCUUGAGACCGGGAGAGGUGAGUGGAAUUCCCAGUGUAGCGGUGAAAUGCGUAGAUAUUGGGAGGAACACCAGUGGCGAAGGCGGCUCACUGGACCGGUACUGACGCUGAUGCGCGAAAGCGUGGGGAGCAAACGGGG
rnacentral:rRNA from 1 species